GUCGGAGAGCAACGGGAUGAGCAACAGUCUGAGUGAAAACCUUCACAUUUCUAUUUCGAUCUUAAGAAAGCCAUACAGGUUUGGAACCAAGUGAAAACGCAGUGAUGACCAGCUUUCCAUCAGCUAUGGAAUGUGAAAUAAAAAAUGCUAUUUCUAAUCAUUUCAAACAAGCACCAGGGAGGGCAGGGGGUGGGGGUUAUGGAUCUAAAGUAAACAGUUAAUUCUUAAAAAUUAAUUGUUUUACAUAUUUUUCCAAUGUUUUAUUUGUUCAUUUUUAUGGUUGAAUGUUGUCCAAGUUGUUGUUGUCUAUAUAAUUGUUCAAAAUAAAUCCCUUUAUAUUCAA